UCUGUCCAGGGGUCGUCCCCGCGCUUCCAGCUCUGCAGGCCCCCAUAGCAGAAGAAGCACCUCACCUUGUCCUGCUGGCCUAGGGUGCGGAGAGAUGCUGGCCCCAGCCAGGCCCCACCCAGCCCCCUGCCCCCCGGUGCAUCCUUCCAAGGCUGCGAGAGCUUCAACUGGAGGGGAGCUCCCAGGCAUGCGAUAUGUCACCUGCCACUGACAUCACAGGUUUGGGCUGCAUCAGGCACUGGACCUCGACCAGCCCCAAAGACCCUGGCUCUGCACCUGCCUGACCUUCACCUCCUGAGCCUUGGACCUCCAGGGAGUUGGCCUCCCCAAGUAGCCAAGGGAGAGGCGCUGAUGUCCCCAGAAGAGGAGCAUUCAGUGUUGGCCCCGGAAUCGGAGCUCCUGAGUCUGCUGUGACCCCGACUGCCAGUCCAAACUCCACAGCUGUGCCAUGCUGCUAAACCCCACGGUGAGGGAACGGGGAGGAGGACUUAACCCUAGAGAAGCCGGGGGCACAACAGGAACCCCAGGGACACCUGGGCGGGACAAAGAGGACAGCUGGAUGGGGCCCAGGCUUCGACGUUCCCCGACCCCCGACUGAACCCUCAACCCUAGCAGACCCAGCUCAUCCACCCAGCUGGCCCUAAAGGCCCCCUGUCAUCCUUCAGCCACUCUCCGCUGCUGUUCUGUCCUGGAUGGGAGCGUGCAGGCUCACAGAGUUUGGAAGAAUAAAGAGGAGUCGCACACUGUAGGGCCUUUGGUUGCCACGGGGAGUGCAGGCGGGCAGGAGAGGGUUAGCUGCAGUGAAAACCGUCCCUGAGCUCGCCUGGAAUCCUGGCCCGCUCACUUUCCACUGCUGAGCCGCAUAGACCCGCUGCUGUCCA